UACGGAGGGGGCUAGCGUUGUUCGGAAUUACUGGGCGUAAAGCGCGCGUAGGCGGACCUGCAAGUCGGGGGUGAAAGCCCGAGGCUCAACCUCGGAACUGCCUUCGAUACUGCGGGUCUCGAGUCCGGGAGAGGUGAGUGGAAUUCCUAGUGUAGAGGUGAAAUUCGUAGAUAUUCGGAAGAACACCAGUGGCGAAGGCAGCGAACUGGCGCUCGAUUGACGCUCAGGCACGAAAGCAUGGGGAUCAAACAGG
rnacentral:rRNA from 1 species